rnacentral:lncRNA from 1 species
CUGUACUGGGCACUGGGGAAUGACAGUGGGGACAAAACAGAGGCGAGCUCCCGCCUUCCUAGACCUCCUUGCAGUAGAACCCAGGCAGAGGCUAGAAGCCAGCACUCAUUGUGGUCAGAAACAUUGUCGUCACCGUCCCUUCCUUUCUCUGGGCUGACCUUGGAACGUGGGAGCAGAAGCUGUCCAGGAUGCCAGAUGCCACCCACUCCAGCCUUAGGAGGUGCUCAGUCCAUUCCUCCUUCUGAUCUACAAGAACAGAAGAACAAAGUCUCUUUUCAUUGCAGCUUCUUUUCUCAGCCCUAAAAUAGCUUGGGCUUGCUAUCAGCAACCCUCCUUUCCAACUUUCUCAUUCAGAAGCAAAAGGUUUUUAAACCUGAGUAAGGAUCUGCUCCACGCUGUCACUUCUUUCAACUAAAGCCUGGGAAAGGAGCAUUGGAAAAGUCACGUCCAAGAUCAACCCAGAAAGCAGGCUCUGGUUUUGCUAGCGGCAGGCGGCAGUCCCAGGACGCUUCCCCGCAGUGCGCCCUUGGGCAAGCUGGCCUCCUCUCUG